rnacentral:rRNA from 1 species
GAAUUCGCCCUUAGAGUUUGAUCCUGGCUCAGGAUGAACGCUAGCGGCAGGCCUAACACAUGCAAGUCGAGGGGUAACAGGGAGUAGCUUGCUACUUUGCUGACGACCGGCUCACGGGUGCGUAACGCGUAUACAAUCUGCCUUGUAUUGGGGGAUAGCCUUUAGAAAUGAAGAUUAAUACCCCAUAGUAUAUGACUGUGGCAUCACAGCCAUAUUAAAGGUUACGGUACAAGAUGAGUAUGCGUCCUAUUAGCUAGAUGGUGUGGUAACGGCACACCAUGGCGACGAUAGGUAGGGGCCCUGAGAGGGGGAUCCCCCACACUGGUACUGAGACACGGACCAGACUCCUACGGGAGGCAGCAGUGAGGAAUAUUGGACAAUGGAGGCAACUCUGAUCCAGCCAUGCCGCGUGCAGGAAGACUGCCCUAUGGGUUGUAAACUGCUUUUAUACGGGAAGAAACACCCCCACGUGUGGGGGCUUGACGGUACCGUAAGAAUAAGCACCGGCUAACUCCGUGCCAGCAGCCGCGGUAAUACGGAGGGUGCAAGCGUUAUCCGGAAUCAUUGGGUUUAAAGGGUCCGUAGGCGGACGAUUAAGUCAGAGGUGAAAGUCUGCAGCUCAACUGUAGAAUUGCCUUUGAUACUGGUUGUCUUGAAUUAUUGUGAAGUGGUUAGAAUAAGUAGUGUAGCGGUGAAAUGCAUAGAUAUUACUUAGAAUACCAAUUGCGAAGGCAGAUCACUAACAAUAUAUUGACGCUGAGGGACGAAAGCGUGGGGAGCGAACAGGAUUAGAUACCCUGGUAGUCCACGCCGUAAACGAUGGAUACUAGCUGUUCGAUUUUCGGAUUGAGUGGCUAAGCGAAAGUGAUAAGUAUCCCACCUGGGGGAGUACGUUCGCAAGAAUGAAACUCAAAGGAAUUGACGGGGGCCCGCACAAACCGGUGGAACAUGUGGUUUAAUUCGAUGAUACGCAAGGAACCUUACCAGGGCUUAAAU